rnacentral:siRNA from 1 species
AUUCAUAGGAUCGUGCCACGUGUC